rnacentral:rRNA from 1 species
UACGGGGGGAGCAAGCGUUGUUCGGAUUUACUGGGCGUAAAGGGCGCGUAGGCGGUCAGCACAAGUCAGUUGUGAAAUCUCCGGGCUUAACUCGGAAAGGUCAACUGAUACUGUGCGACUAGAGUGCAGAAGGGGCAACUGGAAUUCUCGGUGUAGCGGUGAAAUGCGUAGAUAUCGAGAGGAAUACCAGAGGCGAAGGCGGCUACCUGGACAAUUGCUGACGCUCAGGCACGAAAGCGUGGGGAGCAAAAGGG